AGAAGUCCAGUCCUGGAGGAAAAGGAGAGUUGUUUAUGGCCUUCAUCAAGUAACGGUGAAACGGACUGAUCGAUAUGAUUUGCCCAACCUUGAUUUCAAAGAGCAAAGAUUGGAGUUAAAAAAGAAAAAGCUCCAACCUGAGGUUCCUGAGAUGGAAGGACGUAUGAUACCUUUGGGUGUGGGCUUGGAACCGAACCACGACAUCUGAAACACACACAACACAUGAGACUCAAACAGUGUUUCCAUCAUCCAAACAUCAUUCUGUCAUUGCACCUGAUGGGAAUGCACUGCUAUAGACAUGUUCAGGAACUUCAUAAAUGGUUCAUACUUUUUUGUAAAUUGUAUUAGAUUUUUUCUUUAUAUGAUAAAACAGUUGCAGUUCAUAGUAUUUUAACUAAAUAAUAUAAAAUAUAAUUUAUAACAUUAAAAUAUAUCAUAAAAUGAAACUCUUUAUUUUAUAUAUAUAUAUA